CACCAUCAGGAUGAUUGAGGGCCAGAGGAAGAAAGCCCCUGUGGGAAGUGAGCAGUUGGAGGCAAGAGAGGAGGCUGCUGAGUACAGACCCACAGGUAUACAGUCAUUGGUGGUCCAGAAUCAGUCCUUAACAGUGCAUCCAAGAAAGGGUGUCUUCAAUGAGCCUUGUCUCCACAAUCUGUAGAUCUUCUGGUGAAAGCAAGGUAAAUAUGGGCCUGAAUUAAGUACCCAAGGCUGAAAGUGGCUGGAUCACCUGAAAACCAGGGUGAAGACAGAGCUGGUUAGACUGCAGGGAUUGAGGUACAUAUUUCUCCUCAACACUUACUUCUCCCACUCGAGAAUCAAGUUCUUAGUACUUUGGAAAGCUACACUCUAUGAGCAGAAGGGCUGGGAAGAACAGUUAGCAAGAGGAGCUGGCUUCCCCUGAUGUCCACUUUGGGUGAAUGGGCAUUGUCCCAUGUGAACA